GGGAGAUGUUCUCGGCCAGCAUGAAGGCAGAUACCAGAUGGUGGAUGGGGCCUGCCUCCCCACAGUGGGGCCGGAGCACAAAGACCUCCAAACACUCACGUGCUCCAAGAAGAGAUGCAGCUCUGGAUGGCUGGCAGGGUGCACCGUGGCCUCAAACAAUGGCAAGAAGAUGUUCUCCAGCAUCUCCUGGAAGUUGGCCAGCUGGCCUUUGGUGCGAUAGACGUCACUGCAAGGGGGGAAGGGAAGGGGACCAUAUCAGAGAGGAUGACAUCUUACUGGAGGUAGAUUCAGGACUCUUAAGCCAUGAGGUGGUGCAGGCUAGAAGCCUGAGACCAACCACGGAUGGCGGAUCUAUCCACCAUGUGCUUGAAGCUGUCCAGGGUACAUCCCUACCCUGGAAGGACAAGCAGCCCAGUGUCCCAAGCAGUGGCCCCUGACGCACUCAGAACAGGACAGGACACAUGGCUGCCCCAGAAUGGUCAUUCUCAUUCCCUGGGGGGAGAAGAUGGGGCCUGGGAAUGAACAGAGGCUUCUCGGGCGUCUGUCCCCUUCCUCCGUCAUGGGGAAGGCACUCACAAUAGCCGGGGCACCUGCACCAGCCAGCGCACAUUGGGCGAAUGCACACGAUGUCCCACGGCCCAGCGUGCCAGCUUGUCCCAUUCGUCCCGAGAACGGCCAUACACGGAGAGACGCAGCUCUGCAUUCUGGUACUUACUCUCCUCCAAGUCCGACAUCACCUCCUGGGGGAGACGCAGAGAUACCGCCCAGUAACAUCUGGGUAAAGCACCAAACUUGGAGGCAGGAAAAACCAAGUUCAAAUCCUGCCUCGGACAUUUGCCAGCUGUGUAACCCAGGGCAAACAGAAUAACGAAAACAGUAAUAAAUGGUAAUGAUAAAAAUGGCUAGCACUCAUGCAGCCCUCUAAGUCGGCAAAGCUUUACUUCCAAGUAUUAUCUGAUCCUCCCAGCAACCUUGGGAGGGUAGCUGCUAUCAUUAUCCCCACCGUACAGACGAGCAAACUGAGUCAUCACAAGGUCAAGGAACUUGUCACACAGCUAGUACGCACUGACUCCAGGCCCGGGGCUCUAUCCCCUGUGCCAGCCGGCUGCCUCAACCGCCCUCAGCCUCAUCUGUGAAACGGACACAGUAACAGCCUCUACCUCCCGGGGUCACUGUGAGGACCGAACGAGAUAACCUCCCUGCGAGCUACUGCUAUCACAAACAGCGCCCUUACCUUGAUGAUGUGGGCAAAGUAUUUCCCCGAGACCCUGUUGUCUGUUUUGAUGAAGAUCUCUCGAAGGACGGACUCCCCAAUGGGGUUGUACUUGGCGUUGAACUUGUCAAACCGAUGGAAGGUGUUCCGAUCCUAGGAGCCAGGCCAGACCAGAGAGAUCUCAGAGUCUCCCUCCGCCCAGACGCCCGCCACAGACCCCGGAGCCCGAGCCAGGACCCUUCCCUAGCCAGGCCUGGGCCCCUCCCCCUCUGCCGUGGGACCUACCGCAUGCACAUCAAGCGUGUCCACACUCAGGUCAUAGGCCGUGAGGUUCAUGCUCUGGAAGACCUCCCGCAGCGUCUGCUCCCGGCCCUGCUCCACAUGCACAAUCUCCUCCAAGUGCCGCUUCAUGGCCCUCUUGAUAAAGCGGAGGAGGUGCUUCUGGUUCAUACAGGACGAGGCGUGUAUGUGAGUGUCCACCUGGAGGCACCGCAAGGUCGCAGAAGGGUCACAGAGUGGAAGGAGAGGGAAGGACCAUGGGGAGCCAACCUUCCUGAUGUUGUAGAAGUCCCGAUGGGGAACCUUCUUCUGGGCAGCCAGCUCCUUCAUCUCGUUGAGCAGCACGUGCAUCUGGAACUUCGAGCUCAGGAUCCCUUUUCAGAUAGACAUGAACGACUCCCUUGACCAUGCGGAGGCCGAAGCCCAGGUCCCCUGGCAUGGCAGCAGGCUCACAGUGAUCAUAAGGGUGCUGUUCCAGCACUGGGGGGUGGACUGGGGCAUCUGCGAUGUGUGUGAGUGGGGAAGGACACAGGGGUCAGGACCACGGAUAUUUUACCAGCUCUGCCUCCUUCUUCACCCAAGAAGGGUCUAGAGAAGGAGGUGCAGAGCUUCUCCCCAACCCCAGACCUGGGGCAGCCAAAGGAGCCUGGGGCCACCAUGCCAAGGCCAGGAGCAGAGGGUACUAAGUCCUGAAGGCCAUUGGAAGAAUGGUGGCCCCCACCCCUGUCCACCCCUAUCUUUCCCCCAAAUGCUAGCUCUGCACAUGGGUCUGUCCGAGCCUAAGGCAUGCCCAGCGUGGAGGCCCCAGAAACCCAUGCAGAUCUGAACAGGGCUUGGACAGGUAGGUAAAAGGAAUGGAAAUGAGAGAGGGCCAGAGUCAGAAUGGACACAAGACCUGUGAUAAUGCAGGUGGGGGAGGGGGGAAAGCACACAGAAUGCAUUCCCAGAGUUGGGAUAGGGAGUCAUGGGGGCCCUUCUUUUGGGAACAGAAGUAGAAGGGAAACAAAAGAGGAUGUCACACCAGCAGACACAGGGGUCUCUGGGCCCUGCUCAAAGGCCCUGGUCUCCAGGGGCUUCUCAGCUAGCUGCUGCAGGAAACGUCGCGUGGUGGGGCAAAAGCUCUGAAGGCCCAGGGCCAUGUACUUCUCCCGGAUGAACAGUGCCCGGACCACACUCUUAGCUGCAUCCAACAGGUCGGUGAAUGGUACCUGGGGACAAGGGAUGGAGGCAGGGGAGAAGGGCUCGUUAUCGCACAUCCUUUUCCCAGAUGCCAUCUCUGUACCCACUGUGUAUGUUCUGCCCCCUCCUUCCCCUCAGCCCAGGACGUCCUCCUGUGUAUGCCGUGAAGGGUUAGCUUAAGAGUUCCCAGAUGGCCAAGCUUGGAGUGAUCCUAGAGCCCCAGAGACAAAGCACAGGGCAUAAUCCCAGUGACUCAGAGCUCUGAAUGCAGCCUCCCCAGACCCAGACCCUACAGCUCAUCUACCUGUCCAGGCCACACUCACCCCACACUUCUCCUCCCCUGAGAUGGAGACCCUCUGAAACUCCCGUUCCAGAUGUCCAUCUCGCUCCCUGGGCCCACGGUCACCCUGAGCUUCACUCUGUUCCUUGUACAACCUGUGGAGAGAAAGAGCCCUAACAAGUGAAGGGAGGAGGUCCCAGAAGCUGAAGGCAGGGACUUAUCCCACUCACACUCCUUUUCAAAGCUCUGUGUCUGGAAAGCAGGAAAGAGGUGGCGGGGGACAGACUUGUAAUAACGCCUGCUCUGGGCAAGGUUGAGCCUGGCGGAUCUCCUGAGCUCAGGAGUUCUGACCCAAACUAGGGCUAAAGCUGAUCAGCUAUCUGUACUAAAUCUAGCAAUACAGAGAGUCCCUGGGAGCAGAGGGGCCACCAGGUUGCCCAAGGAUGGGCAGAGGAGUAGGUCCAGACCCCUGGCCAAGCAGAGAUGGGAUCAGACCUAGCCACGGCACUUCCAGUCUAGAAAGUCUUGCUUGGCCCUAAGCAGAAUGUCCGGUUCCAACCUGGAGGGAAAAGAGGUCAGGCAGCUAACAAGGGCCUGAAGGGGGUCCAGCGCUUGGAGGCAGGAAAAAGCAGCAUGAAUUGGGGCAAGGAAGGCCGAGGAGCACCCACUGGGCCCAGCCCCACACAAUAAUACUCCCUUUGGGGAGCAAGGGACUGAUGGGGGUGGGGACGCUGAUGGAGAUGAGAGUGGUGGGGAGUAGAAUAAGCCCCUUCCCUCCUCCUGUAUUAGCCAAACAGGGCAUGAAGGAUAAGACAAAGCAGGGAAACCCCAUAACUUUGAAGACAACUAAAACUUCAAUAAAAGAGAAAGGACAGCUAAGGCCUGUAGCACAGGUUUCUCCUCCUCGGUCAGUGAGGCCGAUCGCUGGCUUGGCUCUAGGGAGGCCUGUGACUGGGGGGUAGCAAAGAACAGGGGAAGGGGCUCACUUGACAUCC